UCAGUCACUCUGGUUAUUUCCACCUUGGCUUUCCUCUAGCCUUCCCCUUCCUUCUGUACAGCUGGGUGGUGGGAGACAUUUGAGCUGUCAUUUAUUUGUUCAUUGUUGCCUCUUCUUAUCAUCUGAAUUCACCACAUUCAGCCCCCAGGGUUGGUGAGCUCAAAGGGUUAAUUGGUGAUUUCUAAACCUGACCCUUCAAAGCCUGCACAUCCCUCCUGCCACAUCCAGCCACGCUUGCUCCCAAGCACUGCACUGAGGGAAAGCUGCUGAAUCUGGAUUUGGAAACUCAAUUCACUCCACAAGGUCACAUCAAGGAGGCCAAAAAUCCCAGUCAGCCAGCACUAACCUUCACUUAUUGCUCACCAGAGGGAAUAAGAACUGCUCAAACAAAGAGUGCCAUAUUCCAUCAGCAAUCCCCUGAGCUCCCAGGCAAACACCAUGCAGGGAGAGCUGCUAACUGAGCUCCCUGACUGUGUUUUCAUGAGCAGGAGUGCCCCAGCAGCUGCUGACCUUCGUGUAGCAGGAGCUUCAGGUCCCCUCAGCUGCUGUGUGUCACAGACACAAAUCACUCAGAGACUUCUGAUGCAUUUCAGAAAUUAUUUCUCUGAUGAAUGCAAAAUCCCAAAGGGGGAACAUGUCUUGAAGUGGUCACACUGAGGAAAAGUCAGUGCAUUCCAACAAUAAAAUCCCAAAAACUUCAAAUCCAGAAGCCAAAAGGGAGGUUUUCAAAUCAAUAUUUAAACCUCUAAGCAUCAAACCUGAAGCUCUCAUUACAUGUAUGCAGUGCAGACAAUCAGAAGAUUUUGCAUAUUGGUAGCAGCAGUAAAAAAGUGCUUCUGAAAAUCAGAAGGUGGGGGAAAUGCCUGCUCCAGGAAGGCAGAACAGAAUAAGGAAUAUAAAGAGGAGGACAGGAACUCAAAUUAACCCAUUCACACCCUGAAGGGCAAGUGCAUAGCCACUACCACUUUGGAAAUGUCACCAAUCUCUUCAACUACUGCAGAACUGAACCAGGAGAACUCACAGAAACAAUUCAAGGUCAGAAGAUUUCCAGAAAGCAAACAGUUUUUAUAAAACAAGAAAUUCCUAGGAAAUUUCUAAGCCAGAAAUCACUUGCAAGUAAAAGGAUUCCUCCAAAUCAAACCUUCCUCCACUGGUGUAGAUUGCUCUGAACAAUUUGUGGGAAAUGUUCCUGUGUGCACAUAGCAAACACAGGGCACAUUAUAGCCCAGUGAUUAAUGCAAGAGAAGAUAUCUUUCAAAUUCCACACAUUUAUAUCUGGUAUUUUUCCUGUUGAUGUUAUCUCUGUGGGAAAAAAAAAAAAAAUGAAGUGUAGGGAGAAAUAAUUGUUGUCUUUUUCCCAACCUGGAAAUGAAACUGGAGAUAAUUUUGGUAAGGAGGUGAUACAGGAGCAGAUCUUUAUUUGAAGGCCUUCAGAGGCAGUUAUGGAAAGAUGUCCAAAAACACCAAAUUCACCUCCAGGAGUGAAUAUAUCUUUAUAGGUUUUAGGAAAUGAGCAUAAGUGAUAAAAAUUAGGUAAUAAUGCAAUUCCCCCCAGGCCAAGCUCCUUCUCUGGAGUCCCCUCCUCAGCACUGGCCGUGCUCUGUCCGUGGAAUUCAUCUCCAAGAGUUGUUCUCAACCUUUGUUCCCAGGAAGAACCAAGACAGAGCUGGGACCUUGCUCCCCCCUGGGGCUUGGAACUCUGGAAUUUUUGUCUUUCUGCCCAGGAAAGGCCAUGGAAAAGUACUGGGAAAAUGAGCUGCUAACACAAUAAACUACAGAACUACAAAUAGAUACGGAGAACAUAUAAAAGAAAAAAGGUAAAAAACUAAAAGGGAUCAUUAGGAACAAACUUUGUAGCUGUUAUAAAUCAAUCCUGCUCCAUUUUGACCUCAGAAAGGUUGGGCUGUUCCUAGCAAUGGAGUGUAUGACUCAUUACCUGGCUAUUCAAACACCAGCCUGGAAGUUUUAUAUGGUACCUGCUUGGAAAAUUAGUUUUUUGUCCCCCCACACCCAGAGUUAUCUCCAAACAGCUACUGGGAAGCUAAGCAGCUAAAUAUUCCUUUAUCCUUCCUCUGAGCAAGAAAAGCAUUCUGCCAUAGACAAUGAAAGUGAAUAAAAGCUAUUUUCACACCCU